GCCAUCCCAGUGUUCAGACUAGCUGUUCAGCAGGCUGUGAUAUGUACAGUAGUCUGCACAUUGGUUAGGC
ensembl:miRNA Mir199a-1 microRNA 199a-1